CACGUAGGGUGCGAGCGUUGUCCGGAAUUAUUGGGCGUAAAGAGCUCGUAGGCGGUUUGUCGCGUCUGCUGUGAAAACUCGGGGCUCAACUCCGAGCUUGCAGUCGAUACGGGCAGGCUAGAGUUCGGCAGGGGAGACUGGAAUUCCUGGUGUAGCGGUGAAAUGCGCAGAUAUCAGGAGGAACACCGGUGGCGAAGGCGGGUCUCUGGGCCGAUACUGACACUGAGGAGCGAAAGCGUGGGGAGCGAACAGG
rnacentral:rRNA from 1 species